UACGGGGGGGGCAAGCGUUGUUCGGAAUUACUGGGCGUAAAGGGCUCGUAGGCGGCCAACUAAGUCGGACGUGAAAUCCCUCAGCUUAACUGGGGAACUGCGUCCGAUACUGGAUGGCUUGGAUUUGGGAGAGGGAUGCGGAAUUCCAGGUGUAGCGGUGAAAUGCGUAGAUAUCUGGAGGAACACCGGUGGCGAAGGCGGCAGCCUGGACCAAUAUUGACGCUGAGGAGCGAAAGCCAGGGGAGCAAACGGG
rnacentral:rRNA from 1 species